GAUGAACGCUGGCGGCGUGCCUAAUACAUGCAAGUCGAGCGAACGGACGAGAAGCUUGCUUCUCUGAUGUUAGCGGCGGACGGGUGAGUAACACGUGGAUAACCUACCUAUAAGACUGGGAUAACUUCGGGAAACCGGAGCUAACACCGGAUAAUAUUUUGAACCGCAUGGUUCAAAAGUGAAAGACGGUCUUGCUGUCACUUAUAGAUGGAUCCGCGCUGCAUUAGCUAGUUGGUAAGGUAACGGCUUACCAAGGCAACGAUGCAUAGCCGACCUGAGAGGCGGAUCGGCCACACUAGAGCGGAGACACGGUCCAGACUCCUACGGGAGGCAGCAGUAGGGAAUCUUCCGCAGUGGGCGAGAGCCUGACGGAGCAGCGCCGCGUGAGUGAUGAAGGUCUUCGGAUCGUAAAACUCUGUUAUGAGGGGAGAACAUAUGUGUAAGUAGCUGUGCACAUCUUGACGGUACCUGAUCAGAAAGCCACGGCUAACUACGUG
rnacentral:rRNA from 1 species